UCGCGAGGAGGAAGAUUCCUACAAACAUCAAGCCCAAGAGGUACAUCAUCGAAUCAAUUUCCUCAAAAACUCCCGCCCGGAUAUUGUUGGUGCCAUAGACCGCCUUAAACGCCGAAGGGCAGAGCUCGCCAAGGAGAUGGAGCAGGUGACCAAGGACAUAGCCAUUGAAGAGAAAAGACUCCUAGACCUCCCUUCUGUCAUCACCGAGCUGAAGCAAGAGAGGUAGAACCUGGCCCACGAAGCGAUCAAACUCCACCGCCACAUGCCAGAAGUCCCUAGAUCUGCUGAAGAUGACCAGAGAGCCUUAGACUCGGCCGAUCAAGUUAGGCAAAAAGCGAUUGCGGCCAUUAAUGCCCUCCUUGGAUGAACUGUAAAAGUACUGGCCGCUCUGUAAAAAUAUUAAUGUCUUUUGAUCGUUUGAUGUGUGGAUCCAAUCCUGACCCAUCCUUCGUGGCGGCCUUUCAUUCAUUACCCCCUUUUACUCUGAUGCGACGCGUCUUACCAAACUCGCGCCCCUUUUCCUUCUAUAAGUAUGAGACCCCGUAUUGUUUCCAAAGGCAUUCGCCUCGCUCGUCCUCUUAUUCUCCAGUAGUUCAUCAGGUGAUUCACCAAGAUGUCUUCUUCAUCUUCUUCCUUCUCUUCCUUCUUCAUCAACUAGGUACGAAAACUUCCUCCGUUCUCCGUUCCCC
rnacentral:lncRNA from 1 species